UUUUAGAAUUUGUACGCUCUGU
rnacentral:miRNA from 2 species